rnacentral:lncRNA from 1 species
CGCCCCACCACACUCCUCGGACCUCCAGUCCCCACCCCUCAAGCCACACAGGCUCCGUGGCUUGCAGUUCACAAGGUCUGAGGAGUUCUGUCAGAGCAGUGGAUGGGAAGUCACACACAUCCAAAGCCUGAAGUGGUUGCACUUUAUAUGCUGUGCAAUUCCUUUCCUCUGGAAAAAGACUUUGCUUUUAAAUGUUGAAAAAUAAAAAUCAUAGGGCAGCCUGUGUGCAGAGGGGAGACUACCCCGUUCUUCAC